UACGGGGGGGGCAAGCGUUGUUCGGAAUUACGUGGCGUAAAGGGUUCGUAGGUGGCCGGCUAAGUCAGACGUGAAAUCCCUCAGCUUAACUGGGGAACUGCGUCUGAGACUGGUCGGCUUGAGUGCAGGAGAGGAACGCGGAAUUCCAGGUGUAGCGGUGAAAUGCGUAGAUAUCUGGAGGAACACCGGUGGCGAAGGCGGCGUUCUGGACUGCAACUGACACUGAGGAACGAAAGCCAGGGGAGCAAACGGG
rnacentral:rRNA from 1 species